rnacentral:rRNA from 1 species
GAGAGAGCGGUAAGGCCCUUUCGGGGGUACACGAGCGGCGAACGGGUGAGUAACACGUGGGUGACCUGCCUUUAGCUCUGGGAUAAGCCUGGGAAACUGGGUCUAAUACCGGAUAUGACUCCAUAGUGCAUGCUUGCGGGGUGGAAAGCCUUGUGCGGCUAGGGAUGGGCCCGCGGCCUAUCAGCUUGUUGGUGGGGUGAUGGCCUACCAAGGCGACGACGGGUAGCCGGCCUGAGAGGGCGACCGGCCACACUGGGACUGAGACACGGCCCAGACUCCUACGGGAGGCAGCAGUGGGGAAUCUUGCGCAAUGGGCGAAAGCCUGACGCAGCGACGCCGCGUGAGGGAUGACGGCCUUCGGGUUGUAAACCUCUUUCAGCCCUGACGAAGCGAGAGUGACGGUAGGGGCAGAAGAAGCACCGGCCAACUACGUGCCAGCAGCCGCGGUAAUACGUAGGGUGCAAGCGUUGUCCGGAAUUAUUGGGCGUAAAGAGCUCGUAGGCGGUCUGUCGCGUCGGCUGUGAAAACUCGGGGCUCAACCCCGAGCUUGCAGUCGAUACGGGCAGGCUGGAGUUCGGCAGGGGAGACUGGAAUUCCUGGUGUAGCGGUGAAAUGCGCAGAUAUCAGGAGGAACACCGGUGGCGGAGGCGGGUCUCUGGGCCGAUACUGACGCUGAGGAGCGAAGGCGUGGGGAGCGAACAGGAUUAGAUACCCUGGUAGUCCACGCCGUAAACGUUGGGCGCUAGGUGUGGGAUCCCUUCCACGGGUUCCGUGCCGCAGCUAACGCAUUAAGCGCCCCGCCUGGGGAGUACGGCCGCAAGGCUAAAACUCAAAUGAAUUGACGGGG